CCUACGGGAGGCAGCAGUGGGGAAUAUUGGGCAAUGGGCGCAAGCCUGACCCAGCAAUGCCGCGUGAAGGAAGAAGGCUUUCGGGUUGUAAACUUCUUUGACAGGGGAAGAGCAGAAGACGGUACCCUGAAAACAAGCCACGGCUAACUACGUGCCAGCAGCCGCGGUAAUACGUGGGUGGCAAGCGUUGUCCGGAUUUACUUGGUGUAAAGGGCGUGUAGCCGGGAAGGCAAGUCAGAUGUGAAAUCUGGAGGCUCAACCUCCAAAUUGCAUUUGAAACUGUUUUUCUUGAGUACUGGAGAGGCAGACGGAAUUCCUGGUGUAGCGGUGAAAUGCGUAGAUAUAAGGAGGAACACCAGUGGCGAAGGCGGUCUGCUGAACAGCAACUGACGGUGAGGCGCGAAAGCGUGGGGAGCAAACAGGAUUAGAUACCCAGUAGUC
rnacentral:rRNA from 1 species